AGCCCUUUGAAACAGAUAAAGGGUGAAGCCUGCCCAGUGGGAAACUUUUCCUCAACGGCCGCGGUAUCUUGACCGUGCAAAGGUAGCAUAAUCAUUUGUCUCUUAAAUGGGGACCUGUAUGAAUGGCUUUUCAUUCUCUAGCUGUCUCCCUUCUUCUCCCUUUAAACUUCUAUUUACGUGAAGAAGCGUAAUUUUGACAGAAAGACGAGAAGACCCUGUCGAGCUUCAGCUAAACCUAAGUCCCACUACAUUUCCUCUCAGAGAAAAAGUAAAGUCCUUAGAACAAGCUUUGGUUGGGGCAACCAUGGAGUAAAAACAGCCUCCAGUUUUUCAGGUAGAAAACUAUUCUCCUAAAUAUACACUUUUAGAACCAAAAAUUUUGGAAAACGGAAAAAGUUACCGCAGGGAUAACAGCGUUAUCUUUUCUGAGAGCCCUUAUUGACGAAAAGGAUUGCGACCUCGAUGUUGGAUUGGGGUAACCAGAGAGUGCAGCAGCUCUCCAAGGUUGGACUGUUCGUCCAUUAAUUCCCC
rnacentral:rRNA from 23 species